UACGAAGGGUGCAACCGUUGCUCGGAAUUAUUGGGCGUAAAGCGCACGUAGGCGGCUUAGCAAGUCCCAUGUGAAAUCCCACGGCUUAACCCCGGAAGGUCGGUGGAGACUGGUUUUCUUGAAGCUGCCAGGGGGAGAUGGAAUUACCGGUGUAGCGGUGAAAUGCGUAGAUAUCGGUAGGAACACCAGUGGCGAAGGCGGUCUCCUGGAGCAGACUUGACGCUGAGGCGCGAAAGCUGGGGGAGCGAACGGG
rnacentral:rRNA from 1 species